rnacentral:rRNA from 1 species
UGAGUGCGAGCUGCUACGGCAGCGAAGUUGGUGAUGUCAUGCUUCCAAGAAAAGCCCUAUACCCGUUAAGGCAUCAUGGCCUGUACCCGAAACCGACACAGGUGGGGUGGUAGAGGAUACCGAGGGGCGCGAGGUAACUCUCUCUAAGGAACUCGGCAAAAUGGCCCCGUAACUUCGGGAGAAGGGGUGCCACCGCAAGGUGGUCGCAGUGAAGAGGCCCAGGCGACUGUUUACCAAAAACACAGGUCUCCGCUAAGUCGCAAGACGAUGUAUGGGGGCUGACGCCUGCCCAGUGCCGGAAGGUUAAGGAAGCUGGUCAGCGCAAGCGAAGCUAGCGACUGAAGCCCCGGUGAACGGCGGCCGUAACAGUAACGGUCCUAAGGUAGCGAAAUUCCUUGUCGGGUAAGUUCCGACCCGCACGAAAGGCGUAACGAUCUGGGCGCUGUCUCGGAGAGAGGCUCGGCGAAAUAGAAUUGUCUGUGAAGAUGCGGACUACGUGCACCCGGACAGAAAGACCCUAUGAAGCUUUACUGUAGCUUGGUAUUGUGCCCGGGCUCGCAAUGCGCAGGAUAGGUGGGAGGCUUUGAUCAUCGGCUUGCGGGUCGAUGUGAGCCAACGGUGAGAUACCACUCUUUGCGAGCUAGGGUUCUAACGGCCACCCGUCAUCCGGGGGCCGGACAGUACCUGGUGGGCAGUUUGACUGGGGCGGUCGCCUCCUAAAAGGUAACGGAGGCGCGCAAAGGUUUGCUCAGGCUGGUUGGAAAUCAGCCGACGAGUGUAAAGGCAGAAGCAAGCUUGACUGUGAGACCAACAAGUCGAACAGGGAGGAAACUCGGCUUUAGUGAUCCGACGGUUCUGAGUGGAAGGGCCGUCGCUCAACGGAUAAAAGUUACUCUAGGGAUAACAGGCUGAUCUCCCCCAAGAGUUCACAUCGACGGGGAGGUUUGGCACCUCAUGUCGGCUCAUCGCAACCAGGGGCUGAAGUCGGUCCCAAGGGUUGGGCUGUUCGCCCAUUAAAGCGGUACGCGAGCUGGGUUCAGAACGUCGUGAGACAGUUCGGUCCAUAUCCGGUGCACGCGCAGGAAUAUUGAGAGGAUUUCUCCCUAGUACGAGAGGACCGGGAGGAACGCACCUCUGGUGUACCAGUUAUCGUGCCAACGGUAAACGCUGGGUAGCCAUGUGCGGAGUGGAUAACCGCUGAAAGCAUCUAAGUGGGAAGCCCACCUCAAGAUGAGUAUUCCCAUGGCGUAAGCCAGUAAGGUCACGGGAAGAACACCCGUUGAUAGGCUCUAUGUGGAAGCGCAGUAAUGCGUGAAGCAGAGGAGUACUAAUAGACCGAGGGCUUGACC